rfam:Candidatus Sungbacteria bacterium RIFCSPHIGHO2_02_FTLL_47_11 rifcsphigho2_02_scaffold_27592, whole genome shotgun sequence.
UGCGGGGUAGAGGAGAAGUACCUCGGGGGGCUCAUAACCCCCAGACGCCGGUGCAAUUCCGGCUCCCGCAA